rnacentral:lncRNA from 1 species
UCAAAGAUGCAUAAAGCAUUAACUGCGACCUCAGGCCCAAAGAUGCAUAAAACACUACUCCGGUCACAUGCCCAAAUAUAGGUGUUCGACAUUCAUGGAUUUAAAACCAGGAACUGAGAAUCAUACUGAAAUACAUGAUAGUGAAAUACUGAAUCACAUUAAGUUUAUGAUACUGAAAUAGUGAAUAGGACGAGGCUGAGACAUGUAUUCUUGAACUGAUUAUGAAUAUUGAAACUUCAACUGUUUAUGGCAUACUGAGUAAUCUAUACUAAGACUUGGGGGAAUCAAACCCAAGUCUAACUUGAAUGUGCACUGAGCUCACAACAUUCAGAAUGAAAGUCAUGAAUGAAUUACAAAGCUAGAGAAUAGAAGUUCUGCAACUAUUCAAGUAAACUAGGCUUAACUAUUUUCUGAGGAAAUUAGUAACAUCGUAAAGGAAAUGUAGUGUAGGGAGAAUCAUUAACAUUCCCAAACAUAGAGAGUUAGCCUCACAUACCUUAACUUCCUGCUCUUGAGCGUAAUACAACAUUCAUCAACCCUUUCAACUUUAAUCUAUAUCAAUACAAGUCAAAGGGAUUCCAUAUUAGCAAAAUUACUCAUGUUUUGGUUACUUAGACAUUUUCUCAAACAAUUGAUGACAUAAAGCUUCAUAGUCCUUAUUAAUGGUGUCUCUACAUCCAAUGACCCAUUCUCUUGUUCCUACAUAAAUUCUGAAGUCUCAUAUGGUUACAAUCAACAUCAUUCUUUAUCACACAUGAGUAAAUGUUGAUACCCAACUUUUUAUAUAUAUAUAUAUAUAUANNNNNNNNNNNNNNNNNNNNNNNNNNNNNNNNNNNNNNNNNNNNNNNNNNNNNNNNNNNNNNNNNNNNNNNNNNNNNNNNNNNNNNNNNNNNNUAUAUAUAUGAAUGUGGCCAAGUGUCUUGGUAUUCUUUCAAAUUUUUUAAAGAUUGUCUACACUAAUUUAUUGACUAUUUUAAUACUAUAAAAUUCACUAAUUAUUCCCAAAGUUAUAAUUUUGGUGAAUAACUCAUUCCAUUCUCAUAUUUAUUCUAAAAUAUAAUUUAAAUAAAUUUUGAACAUUUUUUUACACAUUUGUUUGGUAUUUUUAAAGCUAAAUUACAUAUAUUUACAAUUAUAGCCUAUUUUAUAACUAAUUCUAUUUUAUAAUUAUCAAAUUAUUUUUAGUAUUUUUAGAUUAAUAUAUAUCUAUUAUUAAUUGGUUCAGUGCUAUUAAUUUAUUUUUAAAAUUAUUUGAUCUAUUUUAUAUAAAAUUAAAAGGAAAAAAUCGAUUAUUUAACAUUUAGCCUCAUUUCAUUGCAAUUAUAGCCUAUUCAGAUUUCAAUUUUAACCCUCAAUUUAUCCAACCUUAACCCCAAUUGGAUUGACCCAUAUUUCAAUUAACCAACCCAGCCUAGCUCCGAUUGAAUCUGAACCGUUGAUCAAACGAUAUCAACGAUCCAGAUCCAAUUACCCUAAUUAAAUCCUAAUCACCCCCAGACCCCUCAUUUUCCAAGAUUCUCUCUAUCUAUACUAACUCUCCGUCUCCCUUCUUUCUAGGACAUUCUGGUUCUCUCUUCUGUUCCGUUGAACCCCACCGCCUCUCCGGCUACCUCCAGCCUCACCUCCUCCGACCGCUGGUCACCGUGAAGCUUUACCUCAUUGGUUACCUCUAUCCUUGAGGCCUCAAAAUCCUCCACCAUGCGAGAUGGUCACUAAAUAUUGGUCUAGUUAGUCUCCGACCUUUUUUCCGAUCGGUUUUGGUCCGAUGGUGCUGUGGACACCAUUAUUUCACAACCAGGUUUCUCUCAUCUCUUACUGGUUUCUUAAGAAACCCUAACCUCUACCUAGGACUCUUAAAUCUCUGCCUUUUUAAACUAUUUUUAACUUACUCUUCUAUGUUUUACACUACUCUCUACUCGAUCUUUACGAUUGUUCAAGAUUUAAACGUUUUUUCCCUUUUUGAAACUAGGGUUUCUGAACCCCCUUUUUCAAAAUCACUUUGCUUUUAUGAUUUUUGAGUAUUGACUCGUGACUCUCAUUGCUAUUUAUAACGUUUUGCUUAAGUUGGAUUAAACCCUAACUCUGUUCUGAAUCUCUCAAAAAACAGUGUUAUUUCAUGCUAUUUUCAUGUUUUCCUCUAUGCUCUGUUUAUUCUUGAAGAUCCUUUACUUUGAGCCAUUUUUUUACUUAUGGUUUCUUGGAUUUCUUUUAUGCUUGCUUCGAUUGAUUUUAUUUAUCAUUAAAAUCUUUUCUUUGUUUAUUAUGACCAAUUUCUAUGCUCUUACUGUUUUUAGUUUGGCUCUGCUAAAACGCUAAUUUCUAGAAAAUAUUUCUUUGUUUGAUUAAGUGUGUUAGCAUGUUUCUUUGCUUCAAUUAUAUGUGUUAGCCUAAUUUCCUUUACCUUGGCCCUAGCAUGUUUCUUCGUUUGAUUGUGCAUACUAACUUGAUUGUCCUUGCUUUGGUUCUAUCUGCUAGCCUAUUUUCUUGAUUCUUGUUAAUGUUUUAUGGUCACCACACUUCGAAUAUGCCUUGCUAAAUCUUGACUUGUUUUCACUAUCUCUGAGUGGUUGUGUGUGUUCAUCUCUUGUUCCUUCCUGGCUAAUUUUGUUUGCUACUUUUGUUCAUUCACCUCUGUUCAUAUGUUAAAAAUGCAGAAUCAUGACUUCACAUGAUUAAUUCUGAUUUUCCUUGAUUGAUUGGCAAUUUAAAAACUUUCUUUUAAAAAACCUAGCAUUCUACCCGUCCGUUUAAAUUAAUUGGUUUUGUUACCUUAUUUGUUAUAGUACUCUAUUCUUUUAAGCCUUUCCUUAAUUAGAAUCUUUCUGAAUUUGGUCUUAGUUGGCUACUAUAUGCAAUAUUAAAUCUUGAUCCUCUCGUUAUUUAUUCGAACACCGAUUUUUCUACCUGCCUUAUAUGGUGCUGAAUAUUUUCGUUUGAUUUUGAUUCCCAUAAUUAAUGGAAGUACUUCCUUGUUUCUUUGAUUAGUUGAUUCCGAGUUCUUCAAUUAAUAUAUUUAUGUAAUUUUUACCUUAUAUUACCACAUACCUUCAACAAUAAAUACCCUAAGUCUUUAUACAAAACACACAUAGUCUUUUGACUUACACACAUCACUAGAUGCUUUCAAAAUAUCUUUAGCUCUCUUGCUCUAUUGUUAUUUUGCUCUUUUGGUCUAUUACUGCUCUCUGCUCCUGCUCAUUAUCAACCGGCUGAAAGCUAAGGCCAACAUAGUAUUACUACUUUGCAUCCUAUUUUGUUUUUUUACUGGUAUGUCCUCUAUUUGAUUUACAGUUUUCAAAACAAUAUAUUUUUAUCGGCAUUUCACUUCCUUUUGUUUCUUGUAUCCUUUUACUUAUGGUUCUGUGGUUCUCAUUGAAACUAACAUGCCUCUGUGUUAGUUUAUUAAUGUGACUAUCCUUAUCUUAAUUCAGCGUGCCUACUGUUUUGCUUAAUGCAUAUUCUCCUCUACACCCUAGACCCAGUACCUUAUCAGUAUGUAAUCAUUAACCUUUCUGGUUGAAACGUGAUGUGACUGUCUAAGUUCUGAAAUGCUUUUCUUUGAUAUCUGUGUAUAUGCAAUUGUGUUCUUACAUAUGAACUACUUGUCCUCUAUCCCCUGUUUGUAUUUGUUUCCCUGAAUUAUGUAUGAUAAUCUAGUAUGAGAUUGUCUUACUCCCCUUCUUACAUGAGUUAUCACACUCUUCUGUUGUUUCUUUCAAGUGCUGCCUCCAUAUGGAUCAUUUUUUUUAAAACUGUUUUCUUUUCUCAACUCAAUUUCUUUUAAAUAAAAAACUCUAUCACACACUCUCACUGCUUUUAGAAAUUAGGUUCUACCCCUUAGUGUAAGCUACAUGCAUUUAACGGGUGGGCCGGGCUGGGCCUAUAUUCUUUGGACCCACAUGGGUUACGGUCCGGGCAGGUUAUGUGUUGUGUCUUAACAGGUUUACAAGAUUUGGGUUCAUCCGAGUAAUAAUUAAACCAUAAGGGUUACGGGCUGAGGGGCCGGUCGAGGCCGCGCCGGGUUUAGUGUAUUUUUUGGGGUAUUUUGUAUAACUAUUGUAAGUUAUAUUAAUACUUUUUAUUAAUUUAAAGAAUAGGAAUAUGAAAAAAAUUGCACUUAUAAGUUGCAAGUGCUACAUUUAUUUCAAAAUUCGAAUUUAAAGUUUGCACUUAAAAAGUAAAUUAUCAAAACAAAGUAAGACUAAAUUUUCACGCAUAAUAAAUUAAUAAUACUUCAAAUAAUCAAACAAACUAAAACAAUAAUCAUAUAUACGUCUAAUAAUUUAAAAAUACCACAAAUUAUCUUAAAAUUCUUAAAAUAAAAGAUAUAUAGCAUAUUUUAAAAAUAAUACGCUACCAUCAUAUUCUAUGAUUUGAGCAUUUAUAGGUUUAUACCCUACAUAUAUACACUAUAUGUUAAAUUCCAACAAUUUUAAGUUAUGUUAAUUAGUAUACAAUAAUUGAUAUAUUCAUGGUAUAUUCAUAGUAUAGUUAUAAUAUAUUUAUAGUAUAUUCAUGUUAUAUUCACGGUCCGGGCUGGUCCGGUUAACGAGUCUAACGACAUUGUUCAUUUAACGGGUUUUAUUGGGCCGGGUAACCCGUUUAAAAAAAUUAAACCAUCUAAACCCCUAACCCUCCUACCCAGCCUAGUCCAGCCCCCUUAUCGGUCCGGGCUGGUUCCGGAUUUUAUCGGUUGUUGAUACCCAAUGUUUUUCUAUAUAUUUUUAUAUAUACUCAAAGAUAUGGAUGUAUGUAUGCAUAUAUAAGCAUGCCCAAAGGUUUUGGUAUUUUUCUCAAUUUUUAAGGGUUUUUAGAAUUAAUUUAUUGUCUAUUUUUAACAGUAAAAAAUCUAAAAUUAUAUCCGAAUUAUCAUUUUUGAUGAAUAGCGUAUUUCAUUCUCAUAUUUACAAUAAAAUAUAAUUAAUAUAAUUUGCAUAUUUUUACAAAUUUGUUUGGAAUUUUUAAAGCUAAAUUGCAUGAAAUUGCAAUUAUAGCAUAUGUUAUAAUUAACCGCAUUUUGUAAUUAUAAAAUUAUUUUUGGUAUUUUUUUAUUAAUAUUUAUAUAUUAUUAAUUAGUUCUGUAUUUUUAAUUUAUUUUUAAAUCAUUUUUAGCUAUUUUUAUUAAUUAAAAAGGGAACAAAUGGCUAUUUAAAAGCUGACCCCUUUUAUUUCAAAUCUAGCCCAAAUUGCACCCUUAAUUAACCCCAAUUUUAACCCUUUUAUCGACGAUUUUAACCUAAUUAUGUUAGUUUAUGAUUGGUUUCAACCUCCUUUUAUAAAGGCUCGAUUGAUUUGCUAAUGAUUUUUACAACUUAACUCCUUCCCCUCUUUUCCUGACUAAGUUCAUUCAAGACUUUUAAAUUUUUGGCUGUUUGAUUACUUUAUUUACUUAUUCUUUCAAAAUCGUUUACUAUAGGCUUCUUACCUUAAAUACACCCUGCGGACUUACCCUUAUUACGCUACUCUGAAAAGGUUUGCAUUAUUUUCCUUUUAUUAAUUACUCAUUCCCAUUUGACAUCAAAUCCCUUUGACUAAGCGAGAUUCUAUUUAUUUGAUUGAAAUUUUAUUUCCUUGCCUUUUUCUUUACUCAUUUUUGCACUAUAAAAAGAAACAACCUUUUCAACUCUAGACAUUUCUCAACACAGUUCUUUCUGCACUUUUGCAAUACACCUCACACUUCAAAAAAUAAAAAAUACUUCUUUUUCAAUAUUGAAUAACAGUUCCCUCUCUACUAUCCCUCUCUCUACUACUACUUUCUCUACAACUACUGAGCAUUAUGCUCCUUUCUUUCCUACUGUCUGAAUAUUCUGGAGUUCCUAUGAACUCCCAUGUGCUUGCUGAAGUUUUUUGGUUGUUCCUGUUAACUGUAUGACUGUCUACUUGCUGUUGUUUCUCUGUUGUACUAGAAUUGCAACUGGUAUGUAUUUCUAGUUAAAUAACACUCUCCAACUAUGUGUGUUCACUUCUCUUCUUCAACACAUUCUUCACUAUGUGUUUAUGUCCUGUAGCUGUAGCAUGUUCUAUUCUUUCUUCUAUGUAUUCAGUCUGCUAUGCUUUCUUAUAUGCAUAUUCUUUACUAUGUGUUUAUGUCCUAUAACUAUAGCAUGUUCUAUUCUUUCUUCUAUUUUCUUGCAUCUUCAGUCUGCUAUGCUUUCUUAUAUUUUCCUUAAAAUCAGUGUAUGCUUUUUGUAUGGAAAUCCCUUCCCUCUAUUCCCUUUUCUGUGUGUGAGUACUGUUAUGAACCAUGGCAACACCUUAAAUUGCUGUCCAUGAUCCAGAACUAGGCUCUCCUGAGUCUCUACUCAAAUGCUUUCCCAUUCCCUCUCCCUUUUAUGUCUUGAGCUUUAACUUGGGUCCGGUAGUGUCCUAAUCACCACUCAGACCCUAAGUUUGACUCCCCAGAGUCUGCUCCUAUUUGUUCCCUUUAUAUGUUGAGCUUUAACUUGGUCCUGAUGGUGUCCUAAUCACCAUUCAAACCUAAGUUUGACUCUCCAGAGUCUGCUCCUAUUUGUUUGACCUAAGAAAGGGGUCAAGGAUGUGCCAACCUAUGCCACGGCUGGGUAUGACCACCCUCUGCUAUGGUUCCUCUCUCACUUUGCACUCAAUACUAGUUCUUAAGUUAUGCCCCCAUUUGGUAAGCCAUGCUUUGGGACCUUGGAGUUCCCCCUGAACUUGGAUGCCUGAGAGCUGGUAAUUCCACACUUGCACUAUUCUGUUACAACAUUUAUUAUUUGAGUGUAAGCAUUGCCUGGGGGUCCUGGAGGCUCCUUGGAACUUUGAAACACUCUGAAUUAGAGAAUGCCUUGGAACCUGGAAUUAGGAUUUGGUGAAACACAUGUUAUUGGAUAUUAAGAUUGAAUUAAGCUGCUCGCAUCUAGCUGUCGGUUGUGAUGUAUUUUUGUUUACCUUCUUUGUUCUGGUUCUGUAAUAAUCUUGUAAAAAGAACUCGGGGAAAGUGUUAGUGAAGAGGAUGGGAGGGGUUUAAUUUAUUGCAAAAAGGGUAGAUACCAUGCCUAUAGGUUUGUUAUUACUUAAUCACCUAGAGAUCAUGUCUAUAAGAUUUUGCACUUUCUUAACUCAAUCAUCUAGAAAUCAUGUCUAUAAGAAUUAAUAUUCAGUCAUGUUGCAAAUCAUUAGAACUCCUGCCUAUUGGACCUACUAAUCAACUAAUUGCAUAUUGCAAUCGUGCCUAUAGGAAAUGCGUGAAACGUUAGGCAAAUCGUAGGGUAAUCAAAAUACUCAUUUUCUUAACGUUUAAUAACAGUAACGAGUCUUAAAAAAUCAAGGUAUAGAUAUCCUGCCUAUAGGGUUUCAGACUCGCAAUAUCUGUGUAAGUAAUAACCUGGCCAUUGGCUUCAGCGUUUUCGAACUAAGCUCGUCCAAACUUGUCUGCAAUUUUCUGAACUUGCAUUUUCUUUUUUCUGAAAUAUUUUUUCAACUCUCUGCCUGAAUUUUAUUCAUCUCAUGAAGCUCUCUUUCAGAACAGGUUUCAAACUCACUCUUCUUUUAAAGCAUUAUUACUUCUGAAAACUCUACUUUACAAUUCCACCGUAUUUCUACUUAAACAAAUCUGCGGAUUUUUCAAGACCUCUCUGAACUUCUGUAAUUUCCAACCUUCUAUUUUAAACUCUCCUGCAUUAGGUUCUUAAUCAGUAACUUGUAUAAAAUACCUCAACUUCCGACAAUUGGAUCCGGGUUGCCUAAUGCAAACUUUUUACCCAACUCUAUGUGUUAAACUAAUUUGUCCGCUGUUUAAUUUUUGAAAAUCAAAGUUGAAUCUAGGUUGCCUAAUGCCGACUUUUUAUCAAACUCUAUAUGUUAAACUAAUCUAUCCGCUGUUUAAUUUUUAAUGACCAAAUCAAUAUAUGCAAGACAUAUUAAACUAAUUUCUAUGUGAUUUAUGGGGGUUUAUAUUAGCCUUUUGUGUGUUUGUUUUAUUUUCCAUUUACAUGCUAUUUGUUUUGAUUGACGCCCUAGUACUUUACGCUUUUGAAAUUCCAUAUAUACCUAUACUCCCUUGCCUCCCACUUAGGAUUAGAAGUCCUAAGCCCUAGGGCUGAUAGGUUGGGACGAGUAUUUGCAUGCAAUAAGUAAAUGAGACUAAUCGCGUUUAAUUUCUUAACGGGGUGGGAAGCGUAGAAUAUGAAUAUGAUGACCGGUGCGCUUAUAUCUCGUGUAAGAAUAAUUGCUGGGUAUUGCACCGAUGAGAUCCCUAAUAUAUUUAAACCUAGUACCCCUUUUCAUUAUAUAUAUGAUGUGAUUAAUGUUUUCUUCAAUUAAUCUUUUUCUUUCCAAAACCACUUAUGUCUUCUAAUCUUCUCUCUUUUCUUUCAAAACUUUCAACUUAUAUGUAUUCCCUAUGUGGAAGCAUUGUUUGUUUACUUCUACUUUUCUUAAAGUCACAACUAAGUAUGACCGGGAACUACACUAGUGGAUCUUGAGGGGUACCUAACACCUUCCCCUCGAGAUAAUCUCAAGCCCUUACCCGAACUCUGAUUUUUCUUUCAAAAAAUCUUCUUCUUUUCUUUACCGUGUCCUAAUGUAUUAUAAUCAUUAGGUGGAGAAUCUUCAAAUUCAUAACCCGAUUCCUCAAAAGGGAAUGAGAGUUGUUUUGUCCAUAAUGUCGUAAACCCGAAUUUGCCUUAGAAAAAGGGGGCGUCGACAGCAUGGCGACUCUGCUGGGGAUUUCUUUAGGCUUUUACCAUUACGUGCUUUUGUGACUUUAUUGCUUCCUUAAUUGCAUUAGUUUUCUAUUUUUAAUUAUUUCAUCAUAAAUACUAACUUGGAACUUCAUGGUUUUUUUUCUUUCUUUUAAUUUCUUUCUUUAUUGCCUUAUCAUUAUUUCAAUUCCGUUGUAACUUUCGAGCAUUUAUUGUAACCUUUGCUUUAUGAACGUGAAAAUAUAUUCAACUUAUUUCAUUAUUGUAACUGCAUUCCUCGACAUCAUACUCCACUCCUGCCAAAACUCCUAUUGCAAUGCUUAUAAUGAGUGGUUGCGCCCUUCCGAUAUUAUCACCCCUUAAAUGCGGCAAAGGCAUAUAUGCAGUAAAACUAGUCGAUCAACGCUGUAGUCGACGGUUCCGCGCCUUUCCCUCUUGAGUUGUCCGCUCAAGGGUACCUUGUCUAGCAUUUCAAAAGUAGAAACUAUAUUACAUUAAACUGUUCAUGCGUCAUGGUCAACCCUAGCCAAGUCAGUUAUGUUGUCCGCAUAAUGACUUAUUAGGAUAGCUUAAAACAAAGUCCACCAGGUUUCCCCGAAACCCAACUGGACACCUCCAUGUUAUGUGCAUUUAUUUGGAGAACUAAAUGCCUUUAUUGAUAAUUAUUGAUUUAAAUAGUCGAGUCUGGUGGGGUUAAGGGCCUAACGCUUUGUUUUGCAGAAAAAGAGGCACGAGGUCCCCAGAUUCGGUAUGGUAUCCAACAUGCACCCAAGGUUGCUAAGCUGGUGGGAAGAUCUUCAUGGCAGUGAUCAAACCCUCGUCUGAGGCACGAAGUCCCCAGAUUCGUUAUGGUAACAAACAUCCAGCCAAGGUUGAUAAGCUGGUGGGAGAACCUUCACGUUAGUGACCAGACCCUUGUCCGCAAAUACUUAGAAAACCUUCUUUCAAUUUGGAAGUUAAGCAUGACAACAAGAUUAUCGAAGCUGCUACUUUAUUACGGGACAGUGAUAGGUCAGUUUUUCGCUUUGGGGACCUCGAGAUGACCCCUUUGCUGGAAGAAAUAAGGGGGUCUAGCUGGAAUACCUUGGGAGACACUAGGUCUACUUAGGCCAGAAAAUCGCAAAGGAAGGGGUUUUCUCAAAAUUAUGGGACUCAAGAAGAACCCCAAUCUGACUAGUCUGAAGGAGUCCUACAUAUUCAUUGAAUCUAUUGAACUGGACCGGUAUCAUGACGGGUAUGUACCGCAGAAGAUGAUCACGUUGGUUUGGGUUGGCUAGGAUUUGUCCAUAGUUAUAAGCAUAUUGAUAAGAAAACUACAGCGCUAGUCAAAUACAAUCAGAUGUGCAAGAGGAUGCGAGAAUGUGAAAAUGAGCACCGAAAAAUACAGGAAGCCCACGAAAAGCUGAUCAACGAAUGGAAAGACAUGGUUGUCAACGCUAACAAUCGGUCGGGGUAUCUGGAGCGAGGUCUAGUAGAGUUGGAAGGGAAGUUCUUUAAGAGGAUUGAAGAUUUCCAGAAUGCAAAGGAAGUGCAGGCGGACAUCUAGCUUGAGCCUAUCUGCUGUUAGGUCUGCGCGAGUUGAUACAACUGUACGAGGGAGGCAAGAGUACCGAACCUGGGGAAGGUCCUUCUGGACCAAGUAGUUUGGAUCUUUUAUUUCUUUCAUAAUGUAAUAAGGCCACUGGCCAUUAGUAGCAUCUUUUAUUAUUUAGUUGUUUUAGGACUCAUCUUGUUGUUAUCAAUGAAAUGAGGCAUUUAGCAUUAUAAGUUCUCCAAAUUUGCCACUAGGCCUACCUCGGGCACGAUGAGGCACCCAAAUUAGGACACAACUUAUAUUCUUGCACAAUGUGUUUAAAUAUUGCAAUAUCCUCUUUCUGAGAAUCCGCAUUGACUUUUCACCUUUUUGUUUUUCUUUUAUUUUUAUUCCCAUCCCUAAAGGUUAGUUCAUGCAUUCUGGCACCAUCAACAUACACAACAAGAUCCAAGGGUCCUCCACCUCCUCCUUCUCUGAGUCCUACCAGGAAAAGGAACAAAGGCAAAAUGGGAAAUGCGAGUGCUAGAAAGGAACUUGAGGAAACUUCUCAGAACACUUCAAUUACCAAGGAGACUGUUGUUCAUCUUGAGCAGACUUUGCUGAGAUUUCGGGAAGAAUUGGACCAAGUCCGGAACUUGGCAAGCAUGUUAAUUAUUCUUGCCGCUCUUGAUGUUAACACCCAGAACCCCGUACCUCCACAAAAUACCCCGCAACCACCAAAACAACCCACUCAUACCCAAGCCUACAACACAUGCAAUAACACUCCAUUGCUCAUUCCCUAACCGCAAAACACCAUAAACGACCACAUCCAUAACAAUCCCAUCUUUGUGGACACUAUAUCCCAUUAUAUCCAUCCAAUCAGAAGUGCACCCGAAUCAGAUGACAAGAACUCCCUCAUUCAGAAUUUGGCCGCUGAACUCAAGAAACUAACUAGCCGGGUUCUGUUGAUACCUAAUUUUUCACUAUAUAUUUUAUAAUCGAAAUAUUCUAAAAAAUAGCAUAUAUAAGCAUCCACAAAGGUUUUAGUAUUUUUCUAUAUUUUAUGACUUUUAAAAUCAAUUUAUGACUUAUUUUUGCAUUAUAAAAUCUAAUAAUUAUUCCCAAAAUUUGUUAUUUUGGUGAAUAAUUUAUUUUAUUCUCUCAUUUGCAGGAAAAUAUAAUUUACAUGAUUUUUACAAAUUUUACAAGUUCAUUUGGUAUUUUUAAUUGUAUUUUUAAACAUCGUAUGCUAUUUUACAAAAUUCCAAUUAGGGGAAAGUUGGCUAUUUAAAUUAUAGCAUUUUUAUUUCGAAUUGUAGCCUAAUUCCCAACAUCAGUUACACUACCCAAUUCAUUAAAUAACCAUACCUAUAUCUAAUCAAACUAACCCGCCCGGACCCCUAUUUUGAAUCGUGGUUGCUGAUUGUUUUAACCAAAGGUCCAUGAUUGCCUUGCCUUAAUUAAACCCCUAACAAACCCUAAUCCCCCUCAUUUGCACUUUAGAGCCGCCUCUGAAUCCCUCCCCUUCUCAAACUCUCUCGAGUGUUCUUGAAAUCCUAAUCACCUUCUCCUCAUUUUGACCUCCAACUCACCGGAAUCCAUGGCUUCCCAGGCCAUGGAUGAUCUAUGUUCAUCUCCCGUCGUUCCUGUGUACCAGCUGCUCGAGGGUUUGAGGCAAUACCUCAAAGGUCUCCACCUAGACCUCCGCUGACUUAUGGUUUCUGGCCAUAUCCGUCUUGGCUCCGGCAUUCUUAGCCUCAUGAGCCGGCCUUCAGCCUUAUCUGACUUAAAUCGGAUAUUUUUGAGGCCUUUCUCACUCUAGGGUUCGUCUGAAACCCUAGCUGCUUGAGGGUUUCCUCCGUUUCUCUUCAAAUAUGUGUGUAUUCUUCUUUACUUUGAGUUUUAUAAAGUUUUCCCCAAUUUUUCCUAUAUAAAAUUCCUUUUCUUUCAAAAUUGCCUCUUUCUGGUUUAGGGUUUUCUGGGAAGUGCUUAAAUGUUUUCCGACUCUUCUUCUUCUGUGCUUAUGUGGUUCUUAUUCUAUGUUUUCGGUUCUCACACGCUAUGUUUCUAUGCCAUGUUGCUAUGCUAUGUUCUGUUAUUUGCCUUCCACUAUGACCUGAUUUGAUUCGUCUACUACAUCUUUCAACCAUGCCCAUUAAGUGUUCUUGCUAUGCUAACUUAAGCGGGUUUUCCUCUACUGUUUCUCCUAAUCUUGUUGUAUUUACUCUUUUUGCAUUAAAACUCCUACUGUAUCUACUUGCUUAAUCUUCUCUGCGUUUGAUUCAAGUUGAAAACCCUAAGAUUUGGGGGUUUUUGACGAAUGUUGCUUUGUGUGUUUGGACUAGGGUUCUGUUUGUGCCCUGGACUCUCUCAGACUCACUGUGAACCCACUUACUGAGUUUGAAUCCUUUUUGUGUAUGAUUUUCUCUAUACUAGACCCCUCUGAUUAGCAUGACAACCCCUUUUUAUAUGUGUUAAUCUUUCUUUAAAUAGGUUUUCAAUUUAUGUUUAAUUCAGAAUCCCUUUUGUUUUGGGGUUGAUUGAUUGCUACUGAUUCCCCCUAGGUAAAACCUUUUCCUUAGUUUCAAAUCUUUGGUUCCUUGACUUACUUGGUACUGACUGGUUUCUACCAUAUUUGUUUAUCCAUAUAUUUCAAAAUUUCUUCCCUUACUUUAAAACUUCUAUGUAUUUACCCCUAAUUGCCUACUUUACGUAAACUGUUUGUUUGAUUUUUCUUUCCUUAAAUAACUCUCACCGAUUGAAUCUGAAUUCCGUAAUUACAGGAAGCCUUUUGUAAUUUUAUUCUAAAUUGAUAUUCAGUUCUUUAACUUUUCUCCUUGCCUUAUUUACUACCUACUUUCAAAACUAUAAAAAAACCCACCCCUUUUACUUCAAACACACGAACAGUACAAGUUCACACUAAAAAAAUCAUCUCUUCUCCUCUCUGCUUUUCUUUGUUACUUGUUCUGCUACUCGAUUUUAGCCAGCUGAAAGCCAAGGCUAAAAUAUAAGGUUCCAUUUGCCCUAUUUCUUUACCAUUUGAAGUUGCAAACUGGUAGGUCUAUGAUUUAAUACCAUCUCCAAAACUACAUGUUUAAUUGUUUCUUUUCACAUGUCUGUUUAUGUUCAUUAUGCAGUUAAAACUUCAGCAUGUAUAUCCCUACCCCUAUACCCGUAUGUUUUAAUACCGUGUGCUUGUAUGCAUGCUUUCAUGUACUUCCCUCUCCCCAAAUCCCUUUAGUCAACUUCUGUUUGACUUUGUUUCUUUUCUUAUGCAAAUGCUUUCAUAUUUGAUCCCUUUCCCUGACCCCCUUUUGUAUGUGAGUAUUGUUUNNNNNNNNNNNNNNNNNNNNNNNNNNNNNNNNNNNNNNNNNNNNNNNNNNNNNNNNNNNNNNNNNNNNNNNNNNNNNNNNNNNNNNNNAAAAUUGUUUUGGACUAGAGUGGUACUCUAUUGCCACCUUUUGUUCAGAACCAGGCUGUUCUAAGCGGCUACUCAAAUCAGUCCAAUUCCCUUACCCCCAUUUAUGUGUUGAUCUUGACUUAGGUCUGUUGAUGUCCUAAUCAUCAUACAGGCCUGAGUCUGACUUAUUUCAAGUAUGCUUUUAUUUGUUUAAGCCAUGUAAAAGGUCAGGGGUGUUCCAGCCCUGUUCAUGGAUAGGUAUGACCACCUUUUGCAUUGGACUUCCUCUAAUCCCUCACUGUACACUUACUCUAAGUUCUUUAAGUCCUACCCCCCCCCCCUCUGGUACGCCAUGCUUAGAGACCCUUGAGUUCUCUCUGAACUUGGAUACCUAAGGGCUGGUAAUUCUACACCUUGCACUACUCUAAUCAUCAUUUUAAGGUGUAAGCAUUGCCUGGGCUUUCUGAGAGCCCUUGGAAAUUUGAAACACUCUAAGAAAAAGCCUCGGAAUCUGGAGGCCGGAUUUGGUAUAAUACAUAUGUUGGACAUUAAGGUUGCUUUGAGCUUCCUCGGGUCCAUUUUAACUUUGAUGUGCUUAUUUCCUUAGUCUUUUCUCUUCAUUUAUGUAACAAGCUUUGUAAAAAGAAUUUGGGGAUAUAGUGAAAAGGGUGUGUGAGGGGUUUUAUAUUAUUUCUAAUCAUAUAGAAGCCAUGCCUAUAGGAUUUUUUAUAUAUUGCUAAUCAUAUAGAAACCAUUCCUAUAGGAUUUUUAUAUUGCAAGCAUAAUAAAAAUCAUGCCUAUUGGAUUUCGAUAUUGCAUCUCACCUAGAAACCAUGUCUAUAGAUUUUUUAUAUCGCAAAUCACUUAGAAAUCAUGCCUGUAGGAUCUUAAUAUUGCAUUUAGAAAUCCUGCCCAUAAGUCUUUAACAUUCCGUAAUCAAGUGCAUAUAAAAAUCAUGUCUAUAAGGACUAUAUAAAAAUGAUAGGCGAACAGUAGGUCCCCUAAACGUAUAAAAGCAACAACAAAUCCAUCUGUAAAUGUCAUGCGUUAGACGCCUUCAAUAAAAGAAUUUUCCCAAUAGUGUCUAUUUUGAAAUCUGACCAAAUCUGCCUUCUACGCUAUUUUUAAACCCAUAAAGAUCUUUUAAAUUCCAAACAUGCAUUUGUCUAAAAUCAGCCUUUCCUUUUUUUUUUUUUGAUUUUUUGCACUUCAAUGCGUUUUUUUUCUUGCAUCAUUUUACCUAAAGCAGUUCGGCUAUUUUAUAAGCCAUUUCGGAACUUCUGCAAGUCCUAAAUUCCUGUUUCAAAUUAUCGUUUUCUGAAAUUACUGGUUUUCAAAAACACUUUAAGUUUCAACAAACCGGAUCCGAGUGGCUUAAAGUAGACUUAUUAUCCAUCUUUAUGUGUUUAACUAAUCUAUCCAUUAUUAGUUUUAAGCUUAAGACCAAAUCAAUAAUUGCAAGUCAUGCUAAACUAAAUGUUGUUGUGAUUUACAGGGUUUUGCAUGAGCCUUUGAAUGUCUGAUUUGUAUACCCUUAUGUGCUAUCUGUUUUUGGUUGACACCUUCGCAUUUUUACCUUUGAAACUCCAUAUAUGCCUUAUCCUUCUUCCCCCUUUUUAGGUUUAUGAGUCCUAAUACCCCGGGACUAAUAGGUUGGGACGGGUAUUAGCAUGUAAUAAGUAAACGAGACUAAACGCGUUUCAAUACCAUAACGGGGUGGGAAGGGUAGAACAUGGAGAUGAUGACAAUGCGAUAAUAUCAUAAAGCGACCCCUCGUUGGGAAUAUGUGCGGGAUAUUAUAUCGAAUGAUCCAUACUAUAAUUAAACCUAGGAUCCCCCCUUACUUAUACUUUUUUUGUUUGAAUAAUUUGUCUAAAACAACUUUUUUACUUGUACUAUUCUUCUUUCAAAAUUGCCCACUAGUUUUGUAUUCUUUAUAUGCACAUUUGCUUGUCUGUUUCUAUGAUUCUUAAAGUCACAUCUAAGCAAGGCCAGGAACCACGCUAGUGGAUCUUGAGGGGCGCCUAACACCUUCCCCCCCGAGAUAAUUUCAAGCCCUUACCCGAACUCUGGUGUUCAUUCAAAACUUUCUUCUUAUUAAAAACAAGCCCGGGAACCAUACUAGUGGAUCUUUAGGGGUGCCUAACACCUUCCCCUCGAGUUAAUUUCAUGCCCUUACCCGAACUCUGGUUUUCAUUCAAAAUCUUCUUCUUCUUAAAAGUGUCCUAAUGCACUAUAAUCAUUAGGUGGCGACUCUUCAAACUCCAUAACCCAAUUCCCAAAAGGGAAUUAGAGUUGUUUUGUCCAUAAUUUCGUAAACCCCAUUUUGCCCUUUUAGGGGGGAAAACAGGGGCGUCGACAGCAUGGCGACUCUGCUGGGAAUUUUCUUUAAGGCUUUUACCAUUAAUUGCUUUUGUGACUUUAUUUGUUUACUUUAAUCGCAUUUAUUUCCUGUUUUAUUCCAUCACAAUUACUAACUUGACUCUUCUUCUUUUCUCUUUCCUUUAACUUCUUUCUUUACCGCAAUACUGUUGUAAUUUCGAGCAAUCAUUGUAAACGUUUAUCUAAUGACAAUGAAAAUACAUGUAACUUGUUUAAUUAGUGUAAUUGCAUCUCUCAAUAUCAUAUUCCACUCAUGCCAAAACGAAUCCUAUAUCAAUGCUUACAAUGAGUGGUUGCGCCCAUCCAAUAUUAUAAACCCCCCCAAAUGUGGCAAAUGCAUAUUUGCGGUAAAACCAGUCGAUCAACGGUGUAGUCGAUGGUUCCGCGCCUUUACCUAUUGAGUUGUUCAUUCAAAGGUACCUUGUCUAGCACUUCAAAAAUAGAAACCUUACUAUAUUGAACUGUUCAUGCAUCAUGGUCAACCUUAGCCGAGUCGGUUAUGUUGUCUGUAUAAUGACUCAUUAAGAUAGCCUAAACCAAAGUCCAUCGAAUUUCCUGAAACCCAAACGGACAUUCACGUUAUGUGUGCUGAUUUGGAGAACUGAAUGCCUUUUGCUAACUAUUGAUUUAAAUAGUCGAGUCUGGUGGGGUUAAGGGCCUAACACUUUGUUUUGCAGAAAUGAGGCACUAGGUCCCAAAGUUCGGUAUGUUAUCCAACAUCCACCCAAGGUUGCUAAGCUAGUGGGAUGAUUUUCAUGAACGUCCGCAAGUACUUAGGGAACUUGCCUUCACUCCUGGAAAUCCAACUAAAAAACAAAAUCAUUGAGUUUUCCACUUUGCUUUUGGGAUAAUAAUCGAUCGAUGUUGCGUUUUAGGGAUUUAGAAAUGACCCCUUUGCUAGAAGAAAUAGGAGGCCUAGCUGGCAUCCCUUGGGAAAUGCCAGGUUUACUCAUGCCGGAGAAUCGCAAAAUUAGAGGUUUCCUUAAAAUGAUGGGAAUCAAGAAGAAUCCUGACCUUUCUUGCUUGAAGGACUCUUACAUACCAUUCGACUUCUUAUUACGAAAGAUAUGGACACAGUAAGUCCUAUCGCACCUACAUGGAUGAAUUCACCCUCACCUCUUUCGGGAACAUACAUAGAAGGGUGUUUGUGUUCAUGUUUUGUUUCUUGGGCAUGGUAAGUUUCCCUAUGAAGAAGGCUAGGAUCCACAAACUAGCCAUGGUUACCAAGACUUUGAUGGAAGGGAUCGACGGGCAGUCUUUCAGCAUAGUACCUAUGAUCCUCGCUAAAAUCUAUCGAGCCUUGGGAAACUAUCAACAAGGGGCUCCACAUUUCAAGGGAUGUAACUUACUACUUCAACUAUGGCUCCUGGAACACCUUUAGAAAGGCGAUUACAGACAGAAAAUCAUAUGCAGAGAUUAGGAUGACCAUAUCGCUUUUCAUCAUCCAAAGGGAAUAAACUUCAUGCCCAAUAUGUUUGCUCAGCCAGAGGACGCCAAUGGAUGGGUAGAAUUGUUCGAGAAUCUAAAGGAAGAGCGAAUUCAGUGGAUGCUCGAGCGGUUCCCAAAAGUGGAGUUCAUUGUCUGUUACAGAGACGAACCAUUCCUCAUACUCAUUGGCCUAAGGGGAACUCAUCCUUACAUCCCCCUCCGAGUAAUGAGGCAAGCUGGAAGGAAACAAAUCAUACCCGAGGUAGAGAAAAUGAGUCAUUUUAAGGCCGACUUUCAAAAUAAUGAUAGCCCGCACAGGUGUCACGCUCAGCACAUGUGGAAUUGCAAGCUCGUUCUAGGGAGGGAAUCUAUUGAACCAGACAGGUAUCAUGCCGUGUGUGUGCCACACUACAAAGGUUGGUUGGAAGAUGAUCUCAUUGGUUUGGGUCGUCCAGGGUUCGUCCACGGUCACGGGAUUAUUGAUGAGAAAAUGGAAGCACAAGUCAAAUACAGUCAAUUGAAAAAGAGGAUGAGAGAGUGUGAAAAUGAACAUCGGGAGAUACAAGAAGCAUACAAGAAGCUGAUCAACGAGUGGAAGGAUAUGGCCUUCACCGCCAACAACCGUUUGGGGUAUCAGGAGCAAGGUUUGGUGGAGUUGGAAGGAAAGUUCUUGCAAAGGAUCGAAGACUGUCAGAAUGCUGAGGGAAGCACAGUCGGACAUUUGGCUCGAGCCUACCUACUAUUAGGGAUGCGCGAGUUGAUGCAGGUUUACAAGGGAGACAAGAAUACCGAAUCUUUGGAAGGUCCUUCUGGGACCAAGUAGUUAGGACUUUUCCUUUUCUGCUUUAUUGAAAUAAGGCUACUGGCCAUUAGUGAUAUCUCUUAUCAUUUAGUUGUUUUGUUUUUAUCAAUAAAAUGAGGCAUUUAGCAUUAUAAGUUCUCCAAAUUUUUACCUCGGGCCCAAACGAGGCACCCAAAUUAAGAGGCGAGUUAUAUUCCCGCACAAUGUGUUUAAAUAUUGCAAUAUUAUUUAUCAUAAUCCACACUGACUUUUUACCUUUUUGCUUUUUCUUUUAUUUUUAUUCCCCUCCCCGAAGGUUAGUUCGUGCAUUCUAGCACCAUCAGCAUACUCCACAAGAUCAAAGGGUUCUCCACCUCCUCCCCCUCCUAGUCCUACCAGAAAUAGGAACAACGGAAAGAUGAGAGAUACAAGCGCUAGAAAGGAACUUGUAGAGACUUCUCAAAAUGUUGCAAUUAUCAAAGAAACUGCUGCUCAUCUGGAGCAAACUUUGCUGAGGUUCUGAGAGGAAUUGGACGAAGUUAGAAACCUAGCGAGUUUGUCAAUCACUCUUGUCGCGCCUGAUGUUAACGCCCAGAAUCACACACCACCAUAAAACAUCCCACACCCUCCAAUGCAACCCGCUCAUAACACUCCUGAACCACAAAAUACCAUAACAUUCCAAUCUUUGUGAACUCCAUGCCACUUUACAGUCAGCCUAUCACUAGUGCAGUUGAGGCAGAGGACAAGAGUUUCCUCAUUCAUAAUUUGGCCUCUCAUAUCAAGAAGUUGACUAGCGGGGUUUCGGGUUUCGAAGGUAACAAGGGUGUUGAAGGGCUGAAUUACGAAUAUCUCUAUGUUCAACCAGAUGUUGAGCUCCCGGAGGGGUACAAACCUCCCAAGUUUGAACUGUUUGACGGUACCGGUGAUACCAAGGUACACUUGAGAAUGUAUUGUUACAAGCAAGUACGAGUCAGUUGGGACGAGAAUAUCGUAUGAAGCUAUUAAUGAGGAGCUUGAAGGGUAAUCCAUUAUCCUGGUAUAUUAGCCAGGAUGCGAAGAAAUGGACUUGUUGGGUAAAUAUGGAGUCUGAUUUGAUGGAUCGGUUUAGGUUCAACACUGAGAACGCACUAGAUGUGUUCUAUAUUCAGAAUCUUAAGAAGAAUCCUACAAAGACCUUUCCUGAGUGUGCUACUCGUUGGAGGUCAGAAGCUGCUAAUGUCAGACCGGCCUUGGAGGAAGAAGAAAUAAACAAAUUCUUCGUCCAUGCUCAAGAUCCACAGUACUAUGAAAGAUUGAUGCUAAUUGAGGGUCAAAAGUUAAGCCAUAUCAUCAAAUUGGGAGAAAGGAUUGAAGAAGGCAACAAGAACUAUAGGGUCACUAGCCUCGAGGCAUUGCAAGACAACAACAAAGAAGAAGGAUGUAAAUUCCGUAAUGGCUGCACAAAGGAUCAACUCUCCCAUGAAAUACCAGGCCUAUCCCUCAGCUCCACUCACAUAUCAGCCUACCUUAAAUUACCAAGCACCAUCACCUACUUACCAAAUUCCACCCCCUACUUACCAAUCACCUUCACCAUCCACAUAUCAACCCAGUUCACUAAGACAUUCCCAACCUGCACCCGUAUACACAACAUAUAACUCCCAACCUUCUCACUACCCAUCACCUCCUGCCCGCCAAAAUUUCCCUUUGCUUACCAUUCACCGCCACCAACCACAUAUCAACCCAUUUCACCCAGAUAUUCCCAACCUGCACCCGUAUACCAAGCAUAUAACUCCUAACCUUCUCACUACCCAUCACCCCCUACUCUCCAAAACUUCCCUCGACCUAGACCAAACUUCGACCGCAAACCUCAUAGAUAAUAUACCGCCAUAGCCGAGCCAAUUGACCAAUUAUAUGAAGAACUCAAAGCAAUCGGUUACGUUACCCCUAUCCCAGCCGUAACUCCAGAAAACCCUUCCCAAUAGAUCAACCCAAACAAGACUGCGCAUACCAUUCUGGGAUGAAGGGCCAUACCAUUGACGAGUGUUGCUCAUUAAAAGACAAGAUUCAGAAUCUGAUUGACAACAAGAUCAUUAUAGCAAAGGAGCCUGCUCCUAAUGUCCGCAACAACAGUCUGCCUGACCACAAGGGUGGAGGCAUCCACAUGAUUGAGAUCGAAGAUGAUUGGGACCCCAAGGGGUUAAUCAGUUUGAUAGCUGAAAAAAAACGAGCCUAAGAAGCCAACGGUUACUCUUAAUCUGGUUGUUUUGCCUGACCACAAGGGUAGAGGCAUCCACAUGAUUUAGAUCGAAGAUGAUUGGGACCUCAAGGGGUCAAUCGGUCUGAUAGCUGAAGGAGAUGAGCCUAAGAAGCUAACGGUUACACUCAAUCCCAUUAUCGUCCUGAUUCAGCCCUCUGAGGGUGACAUGGUAAAUGUAUCCAUGCCACUCGAUUUUGAAGUACCUUCUACAAAGGCGCCAAAACAAAUUGAGGUUGAGUUCGGAGUUCCAAAAGCACAUGCACCAUUUGAAGUUACUGUAUUGCCUCCCAAGGGGCCUAUUCCGGUCUCCAUGACAAACAUGACUUCGUUGCAAACAAAUGCUAUACCUUGGGAUUACACCGCUGAGGCUAGAAGGAAAGGAAAGAUGUAUACUGGAGAAACAACUGCCGCACAAGGCAUGACUAGGACAGGCACCCGAAACAUUUGGCUGAGUCUAGCAAGCAGGCUUCCGGGCGAGCUGUUGAAACUAGACACGAUGACCUCUGGAGAAAGGUACAGGCAAAAAAUUACUCAGUCAUUGAGCAGCUGAACAAGACAAUGGUUGUUGAAACUGGACCCGAUGACCUCUGGAGAAUGGUACAGGCCAAGGAGUACUUGGUCGUUGAGCAACUGAACAAGACACCAACACAAAUUUCUACUCUGGCCCUCCUACAAAGCUCUAAGGCACAUAAGAACGAGUUGAUGAUAAUACUAAGUGAAUCUUAUGUUCCGAGCAACAUAACAGGAGGCGAAAUGGCAAACAUGGUGGGAAGGUACUGGAAAGCCAUAAGAUUACCUUCCACGAAGAUGAAUUACCACCAAAAGGACUUGGUCACAACAAAGCAUUUCACAUCACUGCGCAAUGCGAGGAUCACUUUAUCACUAGGAUUCUAGUCGACGGGGGGUCCAGCCUCAACAUUUGUCCGUCGGUGACUCUCAUGACAUUGGGCUAAGGGUUGCACGAAAUCAAAGUCAGGGCUAUCAAUGUCACAGCUUUUGAUGGAUAUCUGAGGUCCACCAUUGGAGAGAUUAGCUUAUGCCUGCAAAUGAGACCCACCUGGUUUGACGUUGAGUUCCAAGUCAUUGACGUACCAGCAUCCUACAAUUUAUUGCUAUGAUGACCCUGGAUCCACGCCGGUGGGGCUGUGGCAUCAACAUUGCAUCAAGCUGUGAAAUUUGUAUGGAAUCAUCAAGAAGUAAUCACUCAUGGAGACGGUAGCAACCCCAUAUACAACGAGUCAAUGCCAUAGACAAUGAUAAAUGGUGGGAUAGCAAUAUCGAGAGAAUUCUCAAUUGGAGCGGAUACGAGCCCAGAAAGGGGCUUGGCAAGAGCCUCCAGGAUAUUACCAAGCCCAUCCAGUUGAAGAAGCAUAAAACCACUUUCGUCCUAGGUUAUGAAUACACUUGGGAAGAUUUCCAGUACUGGUCGCCAUCGUGGCGCGGCCUCUACUACCCACUGAAGCACCCUCUACCCCAGUUAGAGCAGACCUUUCAGCUCGCAAAUUUCAUAUACGGGUCAGAGGAAGAUGAGACACUGGCAGCAAUGAAGAACUUAUUUCUGGAGGAUAAUAUGGACUGCUGUCUUACCUUCAAGAAGGAAGGGGAGGAAGUCCCUUCCAUCCAAGUUGUGAACCGGGGAGAACACCUCACCAAUUGGUCGAUCAGGAACACAUGUGCCAGUAGAGCCUCGGGGUAGCAAGGCUAAAAUGACACAUAUGCAUUGCACUUUACUUUUACUUGAUUUUAUUUUUCAGCAUUGUCUUUACUUUUGAAAAGAGCUCCGAUGUUUCAGACAAUUAUGAAUUUAAUCAAAAGCAUUUUCCAAGUUUACCUUUAUAUUUCACUCUUAUUUAUUUUCUCUCUCAUUUCCUUUAUUUUACGCGGUAUUACUAUUACAUAUCUUGAUGAUGAACCGACAAUUGUAACUUGCAACGAGACAAUGCGAUAAAUGGACAUUGAUUCAGAAGAGGAUUAAAAAUACUAGAAGAGUUUGUUAGAGAGGUCGAGAAUUUUGAGAACAGAUCUAAAUCUAACUACGAUGAAACAGAGGUUGUUAAUCUGGGAGACUCAGAAAAUGUCAAGGAAACACGCAUCAGCGUACACUUGUCCCAUCAGAAAAGGAAGAAUACACAGAAUUUUUGAAAGAGUAUGAGGAUAUCAUCGCCUGGUCGUAUGAUGAUAUGACUGGUCUCAGCACGUCUAUCGUGGCUCACAAGUUGCCUCAUAUGCGACAUGCCCACCAGUCAAACAGAAACUCAGAAAAUUCAAGCUAGACAUGAGUUUCAAAAUCAAAGAAGAAGUCACCAAGCAAGUCAAAGUUAGGGUUCUCAGAGCGAUAAAGUACCCAACAUGGUUAGCCAAUGUUGUGCCGGUGCCAAAGAAGAAUGGGAAGGUUAGAGUCUGUGUCGACUAUUGGGAUCUCAACCUAGCUAGUCUUAAAGACGACUUCCCUUUGCCAAAUAUACACAUACUGAUUGAUAACUGCGCCAAGCAUGAGCUCCAGUCCUUUGUCGAUUAAUUUGCUUGAUACUAUCAGAUAUGGAUGGACGAAGAAGAAGCAGAGAAACGACAUUCAUCACGCCAUGAGGAAUGUACUAUUGAAGAAUGAUGCCAUUCAGUUUGAAGAAUGAUGGUGCUACCUACAUGAGAGCCAUAACCACAAUCUUUCAUGAUAUGAUACACAAAGAGAUCGAGGUGUAUGUGGACGACGUCAUCAUUAAAUCCAAAAAGCUGCAGAUCACAUGGAAGAUUUGACAAAAUUCUUCAAUAGACUGAGGAGAUACAACUUGAAACUAAACCCCGCCAAGUGUGCAUUCGGGGUCUCGGUCGGAAAGUUAUUGGAUUUCAUUUUGAGUCGCUGAGGAAUAGAAUUAGAUCCGUCAAAGAACAAAGCCAUUCAAGAGUUGCCACUGCCAAAGAACAAGAAAAAUGUAAUGAGUUUUUCUGGGGAGGCUCAAGUAUCUCAGUCGAUUCAUAGCUCAAUCCACUGUCAUUUGUGAACCCAUCCUCAAGAUGCUAAAGUAGGAUGCCGUCACUAAAUGGACUGAUGAUUGUCAAAAGACCUUCAACAGAAUCAAGGAAUAUUUGUCAACGCCGCCAGUCUUGGUUCCACCUGAGCCAAGGAGACCUCUACUGCUUUAUCUUGCAGUAUUGGAUGGACAAUUUGGUUGUGUUUUGGGGCAACAUGAUGAAACAGGAAGGAAGGAACAUGCCAUCUACUACCUCAGUAAGAAGUUUACCCCGUGUCACACCUCCUUUUUUUUUUCUAUACACCCCCGCAAAGGGAGCGUAAAGGAGUUUUUCCAAUUAAAGGACAAUCGAAACGGGAUUUAGUUAUUAAUUAUUUGAGAGUCGCUACUUGGGAGAUUAAUGAUGUCCCAAGUCACCGAUUUGAAUCCAGAAUCAAGGAAAAAGAUGACUCUGUUACAGUCUUCAAACCAGAAAUCCGAGUAAGGAAUUAUGUUAACCCGGGAGAAGGUGUUAGGCAUUCCCAGGUUCCGUGGUUCUAGCACGGUCACUUAACUGUUGCAUUUGAUUUUAUCUGAUUUUAUUACAUGCUAGCUUAUGUGCCUUUUAUUUAUAAACCUCUUUCACCAUUAUUUAUUUUAAAAAACUUGCGACGUCGUGAAAAUAUAUUUCUAAUCACGUCACCACCAGUGUACACGUGAUCGUCGACACGUUUCGACUUCGUCGAGAUUUGGAUUUAGGUUGCAUCAAUGCACACCCGAGUUUUAGAAAGUAAUUUAAUUAAAUCGCGCUUGAAGGUUCUAGCGUAAUGUCGUUUGGGAAAGGCCGUUGAAAUUCGCAAUACGUUCCUUCCAACUUCUAACAAUUUUUAAACAACCAAUUAAUGAGGGCCCCACAUUUAUUCUUGUUCGGUGAGGCUCGUCUCCAAAUUUGACCCAUUUUUCAAUCAUUAUUUGUUUUAUAAGGAUUACGGCAUCAUGAAAACGUGUUUCUAACCCCGUCGUCAUCAAGGAACCCGUGGUUAUUAACACAUUUCGACUUCGUCGAGAUUUGGAUUUGUGUUGCAUCAAUGCACACCCGAGCUUAAGAAAGUAUUUUAAUUAAACGCGCCUAAAGAUUCUAGAGUAUUAUUAUUUUGGGGAAGGCCAUGAGAUUUGCUAAACGGCCCUUCCAUAUUCUAAAUAUUUUUAAACCUUUAUUGAGGGCCCCGCAAUUUAUAUUUCUGGUGCGAGGCUCGUCUCAUAUAUUUUAAAAGGGCAAGCCUAAAGCGAGUAACGUGUUUGUGAGUUAUUGGAACUAAGCUUUCAUGCUCCAUUUCAUUUCAACGAUUAAUUCCCAAAGCAAGCACAAAGAAGCAUAUCAACUUUCAUGGCAAAAUUAGCGUGCGCAACUAAAUAUUCAACCAAAGAGAGAUAACUAGAUCUUAGUGCGCACAUUCAUGAAGUCACAACAGGAGCAAAGUCUAGUGGCACUCUUUAACAAAGCAUGAUGAGAAUAGAGACAGAGCCAUACGGCAAUCGCCAUAGGAGAAUACAACAAGGAAACUAUUUGAGCUUGCUUGAUUUAGACCUUCACAAAAGUAUAGAACCAAUAUGACAAAAUAACUUCAAGCAUCACUAAACUAUAUAGUAGCAAAGAAAAGGAACAGACCUUUUAUAUGUGAAAGCGUUCCGAACACAAAGAAGGAAAUUCGACAAGAAAACUUGGCGAAGCUGUACUGGGAAAAAUGACUCAACGGCAACCUCACAAAUCUGACUAGAGAGCAAUGGGCGAGCAGGAACAUGAACGGAGUAUUCAAACAUAGCCUCGCCGGCGACUCAAAACCUCGCUUAAAACUCGAACGACGACCUCACAAACUCUAAGUUUUAUAAGCAGAACAGAAGUGGUAACAAUGUCACGGCGACGAAGAGAUCUGAGCCAUACGGCAAUCGCCAUAGGAGAAUACAACAAGGAAACUAUUUGAGGUUGCUUCAUUGCAACUUCUGUAAAUAAUGGUUGUUUGUUGCUGCUGCUAUAGAGGAGAAGUAGAACAAUCCAAACCAGUAGAAGAAUACUAGGAUCUAAACACUUAAUUCUAAGCUAUGGAAUUAGUUUUAUCAACAAAUAAUCAAUCACAUACUAGCUUCAAAUUUGCAAACAUUUUUUCAACAGCAAAUAACAUGCGUUUAAAUCAAUUGACCUGUAUUUAUGCGGUUCAUAAUAAUUAUCUGAAAUCGCGGUUGAACACUUCCCUUGAAACAAAUAUAAACAUACGUUCAAAUCAGCCCAAACAUUGAAAGCAAGUGGAAAGUAAUUGUGUUUAGAAUUAUUAUUCAAACAAGAACAGAGAAAUUGACCUGUAUUUAUGCGGUUCAUAACAAUUAUCUGAAAAUCGCGGUUGAACACUUCCCUUGAAAACAAAUAAAGAUCCUUCCAAAUCCACAUUGCUAAACGAAUACAGCGUCGAUGGACUCCCUAAAAACUGAACUAGUAAUCAGAACCUAUGAUCUUCAUUUAAAAUGAACUUCGAACAAAACUAACUCGCCGGAUCCUUCGACGGAACUCGACUACUCGUUUGAUUUUUGCCGAAAUUUAGAGCUGAUUGGGACUGUCUGACAUUCCUUUUUUCGCUACAAUUUUGGUGGAUUUCACUUCUUUUGGCCAGAUUUUGAGCAAUUUCGUGGGUGUUCUAUGUGGGAUAUGAAUGGACUUCUGUCCGUCUCUUCUUUAGUUUUUCCUAUCCUCUUUUUGUGUGUAUAUUUUGGUUUUAUAGAGUGUAAAGGGUAGGGUGUUAUGUGAGGGAGUAAUUUUCGGGGGGAAGUAUUUUGUGGGGAAAUAAUUUUUGGGGAGGUCUCAUAUGGGGAGAAGUGUUU